UGCCCUGGUUCGUGCUGGCCGGGAACCACGACCACGCCGGGAACGUCACCGCGCAGCUGGCGUACAGCCACCGCUCCCCCCGCUGGUACGGCCCCCCCGCGGCCCCAGAGUGUCCCCCGGGUAUCCCCAGGGUGUCCCCAAGGGUCCCCAAGGUGUCCCCAGGUGUCCCCGGGUAUCCCAAAUUGUCCCCAGGGUGAUCCUGGGCAUCCCCAGGGUGUCCCCAAGGUGUCCCCAGGCCAUCCUCAAGGUGUCCCAAAGCGUCUCCAAGGGUCCCCAGUGUGUCCCCCGUCUGUCCCCCGGGUGUCCCAGUCCUUCCCCAGUCCAUCCCCAGUCCCUCCCUGGGUGUCCCCAGUCCUUCCCCAGGGUGUCUCCAGGCUGUCCCCAGGUGACCCCAGUCCCCAGUCCGUCCCCAGGGUGUCCCCAAGUGUCCCCAGUCCAUCCCCAAGGAGUCUCCAGGCUGUCCCCAGGUAACCUCUGUCCCCAGUCUGUCCCCAGGGUGUCCCCAGUCCGUCCCGGUCUGUCCCCAAGGUGUCCCAGUCCCUCCCCGUGUGUCCCAGUCUGUCCCCGCGAUGUCCCCCCGUGUCCCCCCGUGUCCCCACGUGUCCCCCCCGUCCCGCAGGCACUUCCCGCACCCCUACUACAGCCUCCGCCUGCGGGUGCCGGGCAGCAACGCCACGGCGCGGCUGCUGCUGCUGGACACGGUGCUGCUGUGCGGCAGCACCGAGGAUUUCGGGGCCGGGAGCCCACCGGCGGGCCCGGCGGCCGCCCGCGACCGCUUCGUGCUGGUGGCCGGCCACUACCCGGUGUGGUCGGUGGCCGAGCACGGCCCCACCGCCUGCCUCCUGCGCCUGCUGCGCCCGCUGCUGCGGCGCCACCGCGUCACCGCCUACCUCUGCGGGCACGACCACAACCUGCAGGUCGGGGCACCCCCCCCGGGACCCCCCCCGGGUUUGGUUGGGGAGGGAUUCGUGGGAAUCUGACCCCCCCCCGGAUUUGGUUU
rnacentral:lncRNA from 1 species